rnacentral:rRNA from 1 species
UUAAGUUAUUAAGGGCGCACGGUGGAUGCCUUGGCACUAGAAGCCGAUGAAGGACGUUACUAACGACGAUAUGCUUUGGGGAGCUGUAAGUAAGCUUUGAUCCAGAGAUUUCCGAAUGGGGAAACCCAGCAUGAGUUAUGUCAUGUUAUCGAUAUGUGAAUACAUAGCAUAUCAGAAGGCACACCCGGAGAACUGAAACAUCUUAGUACCCGGAGGAAGAGAAAGAAAAUUCGAUUCCCUUAGUAGCGGCGAGCGAAACGGGAAGAGCCCAAACCAACAAGCUUGCUUGUUGGGGUUGUAGGACACUCUAUACGGAGUUACAAAGGACGACAUUAGACGAAUCAUCUGGAAAGAUGAAUCAAAGAAGGUAAUAAUCCUGUAGUCGAAAAUGUUGUCUCUCUUGAGUGGAUCCUGAGUACGACGGAGCACGUGAAAUUCCGUCGGAAUCUGGGAGGACCAUCUCCUAAGGCUAAAUACUCUCUAGUGACCGAUAGUGAACCAGUACCGUGAGGGAAAGGUGAAAAGCACCCCGGAAGGGGAGUGAAAUAGAACCUGAAACCGUGUGCUUACAAGUAGUCAGAGCCCGUUAAUGGGUGAUGGCGUGCCUUUUGUAGAAUGAACCGGCGAGUUACGAUUUGAUGCAAGGUUAAGCAGUAAAUGUGGAGCCGUAGCGAAAGCGAGUCUGAAUAGGGCGUUUAGUAUUUGGUCGUAGACCCGAAACCAGGUGAUCUACCCUUGGUCAGGUUGAAGUUCAGGUAACACUGAAUGGAGGACCGAACCGACUUACGUUGAAAAGUGAGCGGAUGAACUGAGGGUAGCGGAGAAAUUCCAAUCGAACCUGGAGAUAGCUGGUUCUCUCCGAAAUAGCUUUAGGGCUAGCCUCAAGUGAUGAUUAUUGGAGGUAGAGCACUGUUUGGACGAGGGGCCCCUCUCGGGUUACCGAAUUCAGACAAACUCCGAAUGCCAAUUAAUUUAACUUGGGAGUCAGAACAUGGGUGAUAAGGUCCGUGUUCGAAAGGGAAACAGCCCAGACCACCAGCUAAGGUCCCAAAAUAUAUGUUAAGUGGAAAAGGAUGUGGCGUUGCCCAGACAACUAGGAUGUUGGCUUAGAAGCAGCCAUCAUUUAAAGAGUGCGUAAUAGCUCACUAGUCGAGUGACACUGCGCCGAAAAUGUACCGGGGCUAAACAUAUUACCGAAGCUGUGGAUUGUCCUUUGGACAAUGGUAGGAGAGCGUUCUAAGGGCGUUGAAGCAUGAUCGUAAGGACAUGUGGAGCGCUUAGAAGUGAGAAUGCCGGUGUGAGUAGCGAAAGACGGGUGAGAAUCCCGUCCACCGAUUGACUAAGGUUUCCAGAGGAAGGCUCGUCCGCUCUGGGUUAGUCGGGUCCUAAGCUGAGGCCGACAGGCGUAGGCGAUGGAUAACAGGUUGAUAUUCCUGUACCACCUAUAAUCGUUUUAAUCGAUGGGGGGACGCAGUAGGAUAGGCGAAGCGUGCGAUUGGAUUGCACGUCUAAGCAGUAAGGCUGAGUAUUAGGCAAAUCCGGUACUCGUUAAGGCUGAGCUGUGAUGGGGAGAAGACAUUGUGUCUUCGAGUCGUUGAUUUCACACUGCCGAGAAAAGCCUCUAGAUAGAAAAUAGGUGCCCGUACCGCAAACCGACACAGGUAGUCAAGAUGAGAAUUCUAAGGUGAGCGAGCGAACUCUCGUUAAGGAACUCGGCAAAAUGACCCCGUAACUUCGGGAGAAGGGGUGCUCUUUAGGGUUAACGCCCAGAAGAGCCGCAGUGAAUAGGCCCAAGCGACUGUUUAUCAAAAACACAGGUCUCUGCUAAACCGUAAGGUGAUGUAUAGGGGCUGACGCCUGCCCGGUGCUGGAAGGUUAAGAGGAGUGGUUAGCUUCUGCGAAGCUACGAAUCGAAGCCCCAGUAAACGGCGGCCGUAACUAUAACGGUCCUAAGGUAGCGAAAUUCCUUGUCGGGUAAGUUCCGACCCGCACGAAAGGCGUAACGAUUUGGGCACUGUCUCAACGAGAGACUCGGUGAAAUCAUAGUACCUGUGAAGAUGCAGGUUACCCGCGACAGGACGGAAAGACCCCGUGGAGCUUUACUGUAGCCUGAUAUUGAAAUUCGGCACAGCUUGUACAGGAUAGGUAGGAGCCUUUGAAACGUGAGCGCUAGCUUACGUGGAGGCGCUGGUGGGAUACUACCCUAGCUGUGUUGGCUUUCUAACCCGCACCACUUAUCGUGGUGGGAGACAGUGUCAGGCGGGCAGUUUGACUGGGGCGGUCGCCUCCUAAAAGGUAACGGAGGCGCUCAAAGGUUCCCUCAGAAUGGUUGGAAAUCAUUCAUAGAGUGUAAAGGCAUAAGGGAGCUUGACUGCGAGACCUACAAGUCGAGCAGGGUCGAAAGACGGACUUAGUGAUCCGGUGGUUCCGCAUGGAAGGGCCAUCGCUCAACGGAUAAAAGCUACCCCGGGGAUAACAGGCUUAUCUCCCCCAAGAGUUCACAUCGACGGGGAGGUUUGGCACCUCGAUGUCGGCUCAUCGCAUCCUGGGGCUGUAGUCGGUCCCAAGGGUUGGGCUGUUCGCCCAUUAAAGCGGUACGCGAGCUGGGUUCAGAACGUCGUGAGACAGUUCGGUCCCUAUCCGUCGUGGGCGUAGGAAAUUUGAGAGGAGCUGUCCUUAGUACGAGAGGACCGGGAUGGACAUACCUCUGGUGUACCAGUUGUCGUGCCAACGGCAUAGCUGGGUAGCUAUGUGUGGACGGGAUAAGUGCUGAAAGCAUCUAAGCAUGAAGCCCCCCUCAAGAUGA